rnacentral:lncRNA from 1 species
CUUACUGCAGAGGCUGGCAGGCUCAAAGGUGCAUUGGAGGGUGGUUAUGAGUUCUUGAGGAGAGAAAUCAGAGGCUCUAGUGAGCAUGCUUCUACACAGUUCACUGCACUGCUUCAGUCUAUUUCGAGAGCUCUGAACGUUCUUGAUUCCAUCAGGCUCUCUCUUGCAGUCCAGUCUUUGACCUCUGAACAUUCUCAGCCUCCAGGAUCAUCUCGCCCACCUACUCAUGCCAGCACCUCCACUCGUGGC